GGAGGAGAUUUUUGGAUUGUAAACCUCUUUUUUAAAGGAAGAAGAAAGUGACGGUACUUUAAGAAUCAGCAUCGGCUAACUCCGUGCCAGCAGCCGCGGUAAUACGGAGGAUGCAAGCGUUAUCCGGAAUCAUUGGGCGUAAAGCGUCCGCAGGUGGCUGUUCAAGUCUGCUGUUAAAGACAGAAGCUCAACUUCUGAGCAGCAGUGGAAACUGGGCAGCUAGAGUACGGUAGGGGUUGAGGGAAUUCCCAGUGUAGCGGUGAAAUGCGUAGAUAUUGGGAAGAACACCAGUGGCGAAGGCGCUCAACUGGGCCGUAACUGACACUCAGGGACGAAAGCUAGGGUAGCGAAAGGGAUUAGAUACCCCUGUAGUCUUAGCUGUAAACGAUGAACACUAGGCGUUGCUUGUAUCGACCCGAGCAGUGCCGUAGCCAACGCGUUAAGUGUUCCGCCUGGGGAGUACGCACGCAAGUGUGAAACUCARAGGAAUUGACGGGGGCCCGCACAAGCGGUGGAGUAUGUGGUUUAAUUCGAUGCAACGCGAAGAACCUUACCAGGACUUGACAUCUCGAGAACUUGGUUUAAUAGCCAAGGUGCCUUAGGGAACUCGAAGACAGGUGGUGCAUGGCUGUCGUCAGCUCGUGUCGUGAGAUGUUGGGUUAAGUCCCGCAACGAGCGCAACCCUCGUUCUUAGUUUGCCAGCAUUUAAGUUGGGGCACUUUAGGAAGACUGCCGGGU
rnacentral:rRNA from 1 species